AUUGAACGCUAGCGGGAUGCUUUACACAUGCAAGUCGAACGAGUGGCGGACGGGUGAGUAAUAUAUCGGAAAGUGCCAAGAAGAGGGGGAUAACUACUCGAAAGGGUGGCUAAUACCGCAUACUAUUGGAUGGGCCGAUAUGGGAUUAGCUAGUUGGUGGGGUAAUGGCUCACGAAGGCAACGAGCCGUAGCUGGUGUGAGAGGACGACCCGCCACACUGGAACGGAGACACCGCGCUGACUCCGACGGGAGGGAGCAGCGUGGAAUAUUGCACAAUGGGCGCAAGUCUGAUGCAGCCAUUCCGCGUGUGUGAAGAAGGCCCUAGGGUUGUAAAGUACUUUCAGUGUGGAGGCGUUACCCACAGAAGAAGCACCGGAUAACUCCGUGCCAGCAGCCGCGGUAAUUC
rnacentral:rRNA from 1 species